rnacentral:other from 1 species
UGUCCCCUGCGGUGUUCGUCAGACCCAUAUAUUCUUUGAACCAAUAAGCUUUGCUUAAGGUCGCGGCCUUUAAUGUUACUGUUGUGCGUGUCCCCAAUCUGGCGGAUAUACCUGAUGUAACCUGGAAGCGACCCUCUUGAACCCAGGUUCAAGAUGCUGGGUCAACGGCACAGGCGGGGGGCUU